rfam:Dipodomys ordii contig_34948, whole genome shotgun sequence.
GGGAAGGUGGCUCAGUGGUAGAGUGCUUGCCUUGCACGCAUGAGGCCCUGGGUUUGAUUCCUCAGCACUACCCA